rnacentral:misc_RNA from 1 species
CCGAGUUUACAACUCCCAAACCCUGUGGACAUACCAAUUGUUGCCUCGGCGGAUCAGCCCGCUCCCGGUAAAACGGGACGGCCGCCAGAGGACCCCUAAACUCUGUUUCUAUAUGUAACUUCUGAGUAAAACCAUAUAAUAAAUCA